rnacentral:rRNA from 1 species
GAUGAACGCUGGCGGCGUGCCUAAUACAUGCAAGUCGAGCGAACGGACGAGAAGCUUGCUUCUCUGAUGUUAGCGGCGGACGGGUGAGUAACACGUGGAUAACCUACCUAUAAGACUGGGAUAACUUCGGGAAACCGGAGCUAAUACCGGAUAAUAUUUUGAACCGCAUGGUUCAAAAGUGAAAGACGGUCUUGCUGUCACUUAUAGAUGGAUCCGCGCUGCAUUAGCUAGUUGGUAAGGUAACGGCUUACCAAGGCAACGAUGCAUAGCCGACCUGAGAGGGUGAUCGGCCACACUGGAACUGAGACACGGUCCAGACUCCUACGGGAGGCAGCAGUAGGGAAUCUUCCGCAAUGGGCGAAAGCCUGACGGAGCAACGCCGCGUGAGUGAUGAAGGUCUUCGGAUCGUAAAACUCUGUUAUUAGGGAAGAACAUAUGUGUAAGUAACUGUGCACAUCUUGACGGUACCUAAUCAGAAAGCCACGGCUAACUACGUGCCAGCAGCCGCGGUAAUACGUAGGUGGCAAGCGUUAUCCGGAAUUAUUGGGCGUAAAGCGCGCGUAGGCGGUUUUUUAAGUCUGAUGUGAAAGCCCACGGCUCAACCGUGGAGGGUCAUUGGAAACUGGAAAACUUGAGUGCAGAAGAGGAAAGUGGAAUUCCAUGUGUAGCGGUGAAAUGCGCAGAGAUAUGGAGGAACACCAGUGGCGAAGGCGACUUUCUGGUCUGUAACUGACGCUGAUGUGCGAAAGCGUGGGGAUCAAACAGGAUUAGAUACCCUGGUAGUCCACGCCGUAAACGAUGAGUGCUAAGUGUUAGGGGGUUUCCGCCCCUUAGUGCUGCAGCUAACGCAUUAAGCACUCCGCCUGGGGAGUACGACCGCAAGGUUGAAACUCAAAGGAAUUGACGGGGACCCGCACAAGCGGUGGAGCAUGUGGUUUAAUUCGAAGCAACGCGAAGAACCUUACCAAAUCUUGACAUCCUUUGACAACUCUAGAGAUAGAGCUUUCCCCUUCGGGGGACAAAGUGACAGGUGGUGCAUGGUUGUCGUCAGCUCGUGUCGUGAGAUGUUGGGUUAAGUCCUGCAACGAGCGCAACCCUUAAGCUUAGUUGCCAUCAUUAAGUUGGGCACUCUAAGUUGACUGCCGGUGACAAACCGGAGGAAGGUGGGGAUGACGUCAAAUCAUCAUGCCCCUUAUGAUUUGGGCUACACACGUGCUACAAUGGACAAUACAAAGGGCAGCGAAACCGCGAGGUCAAGCAAAUCCCAUAAAGUUGUUCUCAGUUCGGAUUGUAGUCUGCAACUCGACUACAUGAAGCUGGAAUCGCUAGUAAUCGUAGAUCAGCAUGCUACGGUGAAUACGUUCCCGGGUCU